UACGAAGGGGGCUAGCGUUGCUCGGAAUCACUGGGCGUAAAGGGCGCGUAGGCGGCGUGUCAAGUCAGGCGUGAAAGCCCCGGGCUCAACCUGGGAACCGCGCUUGAGACUGGCAUGCUCGAGUUCGGGAGAGGAUGGUGGAAUUCCCAGUGUAGAGGUGAAAUUCGUAGAUAUUGGGAAGAACACCGAUGGCGAAGGCAGCCAUCUGGGCCGACACUGACGCUGAGGCGCGAAAGCGUGGGGAGCAAACAGG
rnacentral:rRNA from 1 species